rnacentral:rRNA from 1 species
GUAGUGCUUACCAAAGAUAAUCUUGCAAAACGUAAUUCACAGGGUAGCACAAAAUGUUGUUUUUGUGAUCAACAAGAAACAAUCAAUGAUUUAUCCAUGUCAUGUCUGUUCGCUGCAUUGAUUUGGUGGACAAUUCACAUUAUUUUUAAUUUAUCACCACCAACAAGUAUAUCAAAUUUCCAUGGUAUUUUGUUUGGACGUAUUCACUGA